CAGGCCUAACACAUGCAAGUCGAACGGUAAGGCUCCUUCGGGAGUACACGAGUGGCGCACGGGUGAGUAACGCGUAUGCAACCUACCCUUAACAGGGGGAUAGCCCGAAGAAAUUCGGAUUAAUACCCCAUAAUACUAUAAAUAAGCAUUUAUUUAUAGUAAAAACUCCGGUGGUUAAGGAUGGGCAUGCGUGACAUUAGAUAGUUGGUAAGGUAACGGCUUACCAAGUCUACGAUGUCUAGGGGGUCUGAGAGGAUGGUCCCCCACACUGGUACUGAGACACGGACCAGACUCCUACGGGAGGCAGCAGUGAGGAAUAUUGCGCAAUGGACGAAAGUCUGACGCAGCCAUGCCGCGUGCAGGAUGACGGCCCUACGGGUUGUAAACUGCUUUUAUACAGGAAGAAAACCAUGCUCGUGAGCGUGGUUGACGGUACUGUAGGAAUAAGCAUCGGCUAACUCCGUGCCAGCAGCCGCGGUAAUACGGAGGAUGCAAGCGUUAUCCGGAUUUAUUGGGUUUAAAGGGUGCGUAGGCGGAAUAAUAAGUCAGUGGUGAAAUCCUGCAGCUUAACUGUAGAACUGCCAUUGAUACUGUUAUUCUUGAAUAUAGUUGAGGUAGGCGGAAUGUGUAAUGUAGCGGUGAAAUGCAUAGAUAUUACACAGAACACCGAUUGCGUAGGCAGCUUACUAAGCUAUUAUUGACGCUGAGGCACGAAAGCGUGGGGAUCGAACAGGAUUAGAUACCCUGGUAGUCCACGCUGUAAACGAUGAUCACUAGCUGUUGGCGAUACACCGAUCAGCGGCAAAGCGAAAGCAUUAAGUGAUCCACCUGGGGAGUACGGUCGCAAGAUUGAAACUCAAAGGAAUUGACGGGGGCCCGCACAAGCGGAGGAACAUGUGGUUUAAUUCGAUGAUACGCGAGGAACCUUACCUGGGCUUAAAUGCAAAACGACGUACCGGGAAACUGGUACUCCCUUCGGGGCGGAUUGCAAGGUGCUGCAUGGCUGUCGUCAGCUCGUGCCGUGAGGUGUCGGGUUAAGUCCCAUAACCGAGCGCAACCCC
rnacentral:rRNA from 1 species